GAUCCUGGCUCAGGACGAACGCUGGCGGCGCGCCUAUCACAUGCAAGUCGAACGAGCGAGAGAGAGCUUGCUUUCUUGAGCGAGUGGCGAACGGGUGAGUAACGCGUGAGGAACCUGCCUCAAAGAGGGGGGACAACAGUUGGAAACGACUGCUAAUACCGCAUAAGCCCACGGCUCGGCAUCGAGCAGAGGGAAAAGGAGCAAUCCGCUUUGAGAUGGCCUCGCGUCCGA
rnacentral:rRNA from 1 species